AUGAAUAUCGCCCUCCUUUCCCGUUGGCUCUGGCGGAUCUCGCAGGGCCAGGGGGGUCUCUGGCUUGACAUCAUUCGGAACAAAUAUCUGAGAGGCCAACCCCUCGCAUUUUGUCAGAGAUCUGGUGGCUCUCAGUUCUGGCAGUCGAUCGUCCAGCUGCUCCCGGUCCUUCGCAUCGGGACUUCCAUCUCGGUGGGCUCCGAAUCGGUGACUUUGUUCUGGUUUGACAGAUGGGCUGGAGAUUCCCCCCUCGCUGCGCGCUUCCCCGACCUCUUCUCCAUCGCGGUAGAACCCCUGAUCUCGGUUGAGAGGGCCCUUAUUGACCUAGGGCGCCUUGCCUUUCGGAGGCCCUUUGGCCCCCCGGAAUUCGCCGUCUGGCGUGCGUUGCUGGACUGCGUGGCUCUUCACGAACCGGUGGUGGAUAGUGACCUUGACCGGGUGAGAUGGCGCCUCGAACCUUCGGGACAAUUCUCCACCAAGUCUCUAUACCAGGCCCCUCCUCCGCCCCUCCCCCCUUGUGACGGUGUGGUCCAUCCGCCUGCCCCUGAAAAUCCGGAUCUUCAUGUGGCAGUGGAUUCGCGGCCGACUCCCGUCUGGCGUUGA
rnacentral:rRNA from 1 species